UACGUAGGGUGCGAGCGUUGUCCGGAAUUAUUGGGCGUAAAGAGCUCGUAGGCGGUUUGUCACGUCUGCUGUGAAAUCCCGAGGCUCAACCUCGGGCCUGCAGUGGGUACGGGCAGACUGGAGUGCGGUAGGGGAGAAUGGAAUUCCUGGUGUAGCGGUGGAAUGCGCAGAUAUCAGGAGGAACACCGAUGGCGAAGGCAGUUCUCUGGGCCGUAACUGACGCUGAGGAACGAAAGCGUGGGGAGCGAACAGG
rnacentral:rRNA from 1 species